GUAAGUGUAGCUCACUAGUAGGGCUCUUGCCUGUUGUGUGUAAGGUCCUGGGUUUGAUUCCCAGCACACACA
rnacentral:tRNA from 1 species